ACUUUAUUUUAAAAGGAUUAAAAAAGCCACUGCUUGUCAAAUCUUGAACUAAAGGACUAACACCAAUUCUCAUAACAUCCUUAAGCCGGCCAUGUGAAAUGGGUGCUGUAAUUACCAUCCUAAUCUUAAGGGCAUGGAAAAUAAAGCACAGAGGGUAAAUCCUAUGGCUAAUCAGGAGCAGAGGUUGGUUUUGAUGUUGAAUGUGUGCACUCUGAGCCCAGAGUCGAUGACUAGAUAUAAAUGCAUCCAAGCCCAGCCCCCAAGAUGCUAGUUAGGUGGUGGCACAAGGUGGGGAUGUGACAAGGCAGCUGUUGCUUGCUGCUUUAUGAGAGGUACAGAUGGACAGACCCCAAGGAAUCACACUGAGCAACGUUUCAACCAGAAAUAGAAAUGGUCUUGGAAGGUGGAGGGCAGGACAGGCGUGCCCAGAAAAGCAGGAGGUAAGUGUGACUCCCAGGCAAGAACCCAAAAGACUCGGGGCUGGGGACAUGGAUGCCUACAGGACAGACACUGUGGCUUUUGGGGAUUAAAGAACUCAAAAUACUGAGCGCACAACCUGUCACCAGAUGAAUGUAAAUCCCCCUUCGGUAAACCCAGCAUUAUUUUUUCAUGACAUUUUGAGUGUGCUUUCAAUAACACUGUGACAUUGCUGCUGUGUUCCUGAUAUUUUUAAGCUUCAGGCUUUUCUUCUGCAAGCUCUGGCUGUGUAGUUGCUCUUCUACAAGCACAAGUUAAAUGGUGAAUUAAAAAAAAGUGAGAAAGGCUUUACUGUUUGUUGGGGGGGGGAGGGGAACACAGAACUAGAAUAGCUUGUCAACUCAUCCUUUGUGGAUAACCACUGUUAGGACAGUAGUUACAUAGUUUUCUAGUCAUUUUUCUUUGUGUAUUUGUCAUACUAAGUCUUCCAAAAUGUAAGUGAAGUUGCUUGCAAAAUCUUUUUUUCGUGGUGGAGUCUUGCUCUGUUGCCCAGGCUGGAGUGCAGUGAUGUAAUCUCGACUCACUGCAAGCUCCACCUCCUGCAUUCAUGCCAUUCUCCUGCCUCAGCCUCUGAAAUCUGGUAUUUUAAAUCAAAGCAGUCUGGCAUUAGAAUGCCAGAGAUGAUGAUGGAAAUGGCCUGGAAGAUAGUAAGGACGAAGGUGCUGUGUAAUGCUUUCAGAGUGACUGCUGUCAGGCUGGGCAUCACUAUUUCAUCUAUUUCUUGGUGUUCUCACCAUGGGAGAUGGGAAGCUCGAGAAGUUACUGCCCCAGGCCCAUGGUAGAGAAGCAGAAUGUGGCUUACAUUUGGAUACAGGGCCAUGUGCAAGGUCACGUGGCAGCAGUCCCCAACCUUUUUGGCACCAGGGAUGAGUUAUGUAUAAGAAAAAUUUUCCACAGAUGUAGGGGGUGGGGAUGCUUUUGAGAUACAAAGUGUGUUACAUUUGUACAUUCUAUUAUUACUACAUGGAAAAAAUUACACAACUCACCAUAAUGUAGAAUCAUUGGGAGCCCUGAGCUUGUUUUCCUGCAACUAGAUGGUCCCUUCAGGGGGCGAUGGGAGAGGGUGAGAGAUCAUCAGGCAUGAGAUUCUCGUAAGUAGCAUGCAGCCUAGAUCCCUCACAUGGGCAGUUCACAAUAGGGUUUGCAUGCCUUUCAGAAUGCAGUGCUGCUGCUGAUCUGACAGGCAGAGCUCAGGCGGUGAUGCGAGUGAUGGGGAGUGGCUGUAAAUACAGACGAAGCGCUGCUCACCCACUGUGUAGCCCAGUACCUAACAGGCUAUGGACUGGUACUGGGCCAGGGGUUGGGGACCAGAAGAGGGAUCCAAGCCUGAUUUGACUACUACUCAUCCUAGACUAAGGAGCACGGGGACACAGCGGUAGACCUCUACAUUGCAGUUACGAUGUGUGAAUUUACUUAAAAGGAGUCUUUUGUCUCUCUCCCCCAUAACUGUGUAAAUUUCUUUAAAGUCUCUGAAUCCCUCUGUUACCUGAAACAUGGGGCCGAUAUCAACCCACCUAUGAGAUUAAACAAGACAAUGCUUUCAGGCCCUGAAGCAAACUCAGGCACAUUUUCUGCAAAUGGGCUGCCUGUGGCCCUCUUGUGGCUCUUGGUGACUGUGGCCCUGCCCCUAGGGAGCCCUUAUCAGGCAGAUAAACUGCUUCAGGUUGUACAAUGCGGGAUGAUCACCCAAUGGGCCUGGGACAGCCUAGUGGUGAGGCUUGUGCAGCCCCCCGUAGAAACGGGAUGGGGGUGGAUUCAAAUCCCAGCCACAAGGACCAGCAGGAUUGGGUGGGAUGGAGAAUAGGUUUCUUUUAAGCUCGGGGCCUGCACUGUGUGAGCAGCUGUGGCAGAGAGUGACAGGUGUAUGGAUCCACCAUGGACGGGGUACUGAGAGGCAUGGCACUGUGGGGUGUGUGCAUCCCUGGGGUAAACAGUGCUCAUUAAAAACUAAAGAUGCACUGUGCUUAACUUUAAAGGAUGGCAUUAAGUUCAUACAGAAGUCUACCAAUGCUUUCUAGAUGUCAGCUUUCACCACUUCAAGGCUAACAUAUCACUCUAUGUAAAAUUCCGAUGGUUACCAAUGGCUGUGAUGCUGAGGGGGCCUCUUUGUCUCUUUGUUGAUAGCCACUUGAGGUGACCAGGGGCCAUCUCGCGUUUCAGAGCUGGCUCAGCCUGACAUUUCAGAAGACCUCAGAUACCAUCUACUGGGGGGGCUGAAGAGAGGCUCUGUGAUGGUUCUGCUGGAGUAAACCGUAAUUAUUAAAAACUGAGAUGCAUUACGCCUAACUUGCUAAGGAUGGAAAGGAUUAUCCCUGAAUGCUGCUGGUCUUCUAAUUCUCAGUUGCCCCGUCCCCACUUUGCAUGGGAUGUUCAGAGCACAAUCAUGUCUCUGUUGUAAUCCCGGCCAAUUACCUCACAGUGCUCUCCCCACUGCAGCACCCAGCCCAACCAACCGUGGCUAAAAUCUUAAGCAGAAGACCCACAGGAAGACAGGGCAAGCGGUGAAUGAAAAUAGCAGCCUGCCUGCCCUGACGACUUGAGAAUCCUCCAGUUGCCUGCAGAGGCCCUCCUCCACUCGCUGGAAUGGCUAUGGUCAUGUCACAUUGAUGAUGUUUUGGUGAACAACAGACUGCAGAUAUGAUAGUGAUCCUGUAAGAUCGUGAUGGAGCUGAAAAAUAUCUGUUGCUUAGUGACAUCACAAUGCAGUGCACUACUCCUGCAUCUGAGGUGAUGCUGGUAUCAAACGAGCCUACUGCACUGCCACUCAUCAAAAAGAUUUUUUGGGCUGGGUGUAGUGGCUCACACCUGCAAUCCCAGCAUUCUGGGAUGCCAAGGAGAAUGGGUCAUUUGAGGUCAGGAGUUCAAGAUCAGCCUAGCCAACAUAGUGAAAUGCUGUCUCUACUGAAAAUGCAAAAAUUAGUUGGGAGAGGUGGUGUGUUCCUGUAAUCCCAGCUACUUAAGAGGCUGAAGCAGGAGAAUUGCUUGAACCCAGGAGGAGGAGGUUGCAGUGAGCCAACAUCAUGCCAAACUCAGUCUCAAAAGCCAAAGGUGGCUUGUUUCUAUUCGCAAGCCCUCAACCAUUCAGCAUCUCCACCCUCUUCUGAGGUUCUUCCCAUCUCUCUGAAGGUGACUUUGCCACUAAAUUGUACAGGGUCCCAGGUCUCUUCUGCCUGCACUCCCCACUUAUCUUUCCAUAGAUCCAAAUGGUAAAGCUUCCCAAAUUCGUAUGUCAGCCUUUCCCUCUGGAGCCCUGGAGUCAGUAUAUCUACCUUGAACAUAGCCAAAAUGGAAAUUGUGACCAGGGGCAGUGACUCCUGUGUCUAAUCUCAGCACUUUCGGAGGUUGAGGCAGCUAGAUGGCUUGAGCCUGGCAGACUCUGAGGCCAGCCUGGGCCACAUAGCAAGACCUCAUCUUGGGGCGGGGGGGGGGUAAAUUAGCCAGAUGUGGUGUGUACCUGUUGUCCAGCUACUCAUGAGGCAGAAGUGGGAAGACUGAGCCUGAGCGGCAGAGGCUGUAGUGAGCCGAGAUCAUGCCACUACACUCAAGGUGAGGAGACAGACGGAGACCCUAUCUCAAAAAAAAAAAAUUCAAUUUUUUCCACCAUCAAACUUCUGUUCCUCCUCUGGGCUUCUGUACUUUAGUAAAGGGGGCAACUGUUGACUCCAAUGCUCAAACCAGAACUCUGGGGGUGCCUUAAUUUUUCUUUAUUCACAUUCCAAACAAAAUCCAAGACCCACUGGCCUUUGGCUUCUGCCUCCAGACACAUGACUACUGCUUCCACUUCUGUCUCUGCUGUGUCUCCUAAACCCAGACACCGUCCCUUCUUGCCUUGACCCUUCCUCAGACCCCAAACCCUUCCAUAGCUUCCCACUGUGUUCAGAAUCAAAUGCAAAUGUUUCCCACAGCUGUAAUCCCAUCGUCACUUCCUCUGGCAACACGGGGACUGCCUGCCAUGCCCUAACUCCUCCUUGUGCUUUUGGCCUUCGCCUAAGAGUUCCUUGGAGUUUCUUCACAGCAUCUGUAGCCAUCUGAAGUGUCAUCUUCUGUACUAUAUUGCCAGUGCCUACAAUUACGACUGGUAUACUCAACCAGGACCCAUGGACCUGGCAUGGCAGGUGUGCGGAAACAGCAGGACACGCUGACAUUACAGAAGACGAUGCACACCCAUGCACGGGGCACAGAAACACCUUCAAGACACAGGUAAGGGAAAAGCUACAGAACAAAAGACAUCUGGUCCCAUUUUAGUUAAAACUGAAACCUCAUAUGAAGCAAGCACCCAUGUAUACACAGAUGCACCAAAAGGCAGAGACGAUGCAGCCGAGGGAGAUGUUCACGUUUUGCUCUAUAUAUGCUCAUCGUUCAAAUGGUUUAAGCCAGAACUUAUUCACACAUUGCUCAUUUACUUAAACACAGUAAAGAGCAAAGCAUCCAGGCUGGGCAUGGUGGCUUAGACCUGUAAUCCCAAGUGCUUUUGGGAGGCCAAGGUGAGAGGAUCAUUUGAGGUCAGGAUUUACAGACCAGCCUGGGCAACAUGGUUAAAACGCUGUCUCUACUAAAAAUACAAAAAUUAGCCAAAUGUGGUGGAUGCCUGUAGUCCCAGCUACUUGGGUGGCUGAGGCAGGAGAAUUGCUUGAACCCAGGAGGCGGAGAUCAUGCCACUGCACUCCAGCCUAGGCAAAAGAGUGAGACUCCAUCUGAAAUCCCAGCACUUUCGGUAGACCUAGGUGGGUGGAUCACAAGGUCAGGAGUUCGAGACUAGCCUGACCAACAUGGUGAAACCCUGUCUGUACUUAAGGAAAAAAACUAGGCUGGGGGUGGUGGCAUGUGCAUAUAAUCCCAGCUGCGUGGUAGGCUGAGGCAGAAUUGUUUGAACCCAGGAGGCGGAGGUUGCAGUGAGCCAAGAUCACGUCAUUGCACUCCAGCCUGGGCAACAAGCACAAAAUUCCAUCUUGCAGGGGUGGGGGGUGGGGAACAAAGCAUCCUCAGAGCCCACAGCUCCUGCUUAGCUCCCUGCAGUGCUCUGUGGGGUCCCUCCUCCAGCACUGUGAUGGCAAGUGUGCACCUGCCCUGCCUGGUCUAAGCAGCUGGGGCUGGUCUGAGCUGGUCUACACCAUGCUCAGCAGGUUGGAGUGUGUCAGACCUGGUUUUCAACCACCAGAACUACUUAUAUGUUCAACUUGAGAGCAUGUCUGGCAAGCUCUGAGAAGACGAGCUGGUUUCUCUGCCUGCCUUGUUAGGGCGUUUCCCAGGGCCAGGUGCCCACUCAUUUUCCUCUUACUCUGUGCCCCUAGGCGGCAGUGGUCUUGUACAAUCUCUCUCUGUAUUCUCAAGUCCCCAUCUGCGAGCAUGGCUACUGGAAAUAACUGCAGCUGUAUACUGACUUAAAGAUCCAAAAAUCCCAGGAAGGACCCCAGAGCUGUGAGCCAGAAGCCCAAGGCCCUCCCAGCCUGAAAGCCCCAGGCCAAGCCUGAACUAUAUGCAGGUGAGUGUUGCUUUGCAGUUACCAUCUCCAAUUAGUGUCCCCAGCCUCUUAAAGCUGAUCUAAUCCCACUCUCCUGAUUUCAGCCCCUCAGACAGUGCCUGCUGCACUCAAUACAAUCCAUGUUCCUGAUGACGUGGCAUAUAAGGCCAGGAGCAAUCAGCUCUGCUGCCCUUGCCUAUCUCCUGCCUCCAUGUCCAUGUCUCCCCAGGCCCUGCCAUCUGCCACACCCUCUCCUCUCUGGCAGGUCAGGUGUCACACUGUUGGCUGUUCUCUCCUCCAGGAUGACUGAAAGCCCAGAGCUGAGAUGAAUUCAUACCUUAAAUCAGAAGUGAUUUCACUGGAGAUACCAUGUCUCUUCUAUCAGUCCCCCAAUCUAAAUCUUCCCCCGACCCUUGUAAACGCCCUGCAUGGCCUGGGUCUCCCAUUGCAAUCCUUCCAUUUGUUUGGUGUUUGGUUUUUGCUUUUUUAGUCAUCCCCAUGAGAAUAUAAACUCCAUGAGGGCAGCAACUUGGCUGGCCUGUGUGCCAGUGCUGGGGACAUCACUGAGAAAUGAAGGCCCAUUUGGCAGGCUAUUUUUGAGCAAGAUUCCUGAGGCCCAAUCGUUGGGUGAUGAGAUGGACCCGAGGUAUUUCACUCCAGCUCUCGAGCCAAAAGAACUGACCACGUCCUCACCACUGCUCUGCGCCAGGUACCAUGCUUGCUGUCUUACACGUGUAUUGGCUUAUUAAACCCUCACAGAAGCCAGGAGAGGAGUUCCAUUAUCACCUCUUCUAGAAGAGGAAACUGAGGCACAGAAGUUAACUGGCCAGGGCUUACGAGCCCCUAGGAGGCAAAGCUGGGGCAUGGUGCUGGAUGUCUGACUCCACGGCCCUCCCCUGCCUUAUCUGCCGUUGUUUCCCUUUCUGCAGGAUUAGUAGAUUAAGCUGUACUGGAAUGUGGCCUCUCAGGCAUUUCCGUAUCAGCCAUGGUUACACUCACUGAGGAUAGCACAGUUGAGUGAUUGAGACAGAGAUUCAGUGCCCCAAAAAUCCUUCCCAUCUGAGCCUGGACUUGCCACGUUUUUUAGAGACAGGGACCAGCAGGAGCUACUUUGACAUGGCACUGUGUUGGGCACAGCCUGGCUGGGGAAUCUCACUGGAUCCUCACAGUGGCUCUGUGUGGUAGGGUAUAGAGAUCCCUACCUUACAGAUGAGCAGACAGGCUAGAAAUAUCACCUGCCUGCUCCUGUGUCCCCAGCAGCAGCUAAGUGACAAAACUGAGGCGGGGAUACAGAAGUUUGAUGCCCAUGUGCUUCUGAAGCGGGCCCCUGGUAUGUGUACAAGGCAGCCAGGAAGUAUUUCUUGUCAGCUGUCCCCAUUCACAAGUUGGCUCACCACCUGAAAGGAGGGUGGUACUUUUAUCCUACUGCACAGGAACGGAAACCAAAGCUCAGAAAAUACUUGCUGGGUUGAUGCCUCAGACUCAGAUCUAAUUGUAACACCAGAAUUUGUUCCAGCCUUUUGAAAGCAGGGCUUCUCAACUUUGCAUGCACCUUAGAAUUACCUGGGGAACUUUAAAAAGAUCCUGAUGCUGAGGCCCAAAGAUUAAUGUUGCAUUAACCAGGCAGGGCCUGGCCUCUGUAUUUUUAAAAGCAUGCUGGGUGAUCGAAUGUGCAAGCUGUGGCUGAGACCCCAACUUGAAAGCAAUCCUACUGUUGGGGAAGUUCUGCAAAUGGAAAGACUAGCCCCCAAAAGAAUGAUUCCACAUAUCUCUGAGGUUACAAGUGGCUUUUUGGUGGGCUGACAAACUGGUUAAACAUUUGACGGUGUCUGAACCUCCGGAGCAGUGAUUUUUAGACUGUCCUCAGAAGAUGGCAAAUCUGAGUGCAGUGUGUUCCUAAAGGCUCUCUGUGGGGAAGUCUGCACGAUGGUACUGAGGGUUUUCUGAGAUUCUCCUGGCAGCUGUGGACCACUGUUCCAUUAUUUCACACCAGAUUUCAUCCAAGCAAAGAGAGGAUCACAUGGAGAUGAAAACACCCCACUUCCUUCAUCUGGAUGACACCUUGUUUAGAAGCCCAUCACUCGGCCAGAGAAGAAAUAUUUAGAUUGAGAAACAGCUUUUUGUUGUGCCCUAAGCCCAUUCUACCUUUAUGAUUCAACUAAAAAUUUAUUUCCACUUAAAUAAAACCAGCAAUUCUGAGCUUCCCCUCCCGUCACAGGUUUCCUCCCAGAAAGUCUAUCAUGAAAAUACUGCUCAAAAAUCAUCUGUAAAAAGGUAAAUUAACACAUAUUCUUGGCUCCCUCUUCCUUAUCUCAGCUAUUCAGCCUCUACACUUUUUCAACUAUUUUAUCACCUUUUUUAAAUAGGCAACACAGGAGUGUAGAAUAAGAGCAUGAGGGGGGUGAAUACAUGAAAAAGUGAGUCUUCCCACCUUGGUCCUCCACUAAGUGACGGUUACUUUUUAAUGUGUCUUUCUACAGGUAUACAUUACACAUAGAAGCACGUAUGUAUGCACCGGUGGAAGUAUAUAUCCUCAUAUUUGGUGUUUGGUUUUUUUUUUUUUUUUGUAGAUUGAGACUGUGUCUCCCAGACUGGAAUGUAAUGACACAAUGUCAGCUCACUCCAACCUCCACCUCCCGGGUUUAAGUGAUUCUCCUGCCUCAGCCUCCCAAGUAGGUGGGAGUACAGGCGUGCACCACCAUGCCUGGCUAAUUUUUGGAUUUUUAGUAGAGAUGGGUUUUCCUCUUGUUGGCUAGGCUGGUCUCACACUCGACCUCAGGUGACCCAACCACCUUGGCCUCCCACAGUACUGGGAUUACAGGUAUAAGCCUCUGUGUCUGGCCCAUAUUUGCUAUUUCUAAAAUUAGAAAGGUAUUGUGUGGUACUCUUCCAUGCUUUAUCCUCUUAGUAAUAAUGUCAUGGAGAUUUUUUCCAUAUCACUACAUGCGGUAUGGAAGGUAUUCCCUUUACAUGUGAGUGUACAUCAGCCUCAGUAUUCUAGCCCAUAGGUUGGCAAACUUCCUAUAAAGGGUGAGACUAAACAUACUAGGCUCCAGGGAGGCAUUCCAUCUCAGUUACAACUCAACUUUGCCCUUAUAAUAAGAAGCUAUACAUGAAGUGUGAAUGACUGGGCAUGUUCCAAUAAAACUUUACUUAUAAAAAACAGGUGGAGGGUAAGAUUUGGCCUGUGGGCCAUCAUUUUCUGAUCUCUGUUCUAGUCUGAACCAUCUUUGGCUGUUUCACCACAGUCAUGCGGCCAAGGAGGCAAGGCCUGGCCACACAGGGCACAGAAGCCAUGAUGGGCCUUGUCUGCAAGUAGAAAUCACCUGCUAAUCACCAACAGGUCUCAAAGUAAAUGCUGGAACACACUUUGUAGGGUGACUCUCCUGGCCCCAAGCAGCAUCUGCGACAUCAAGAUGCCGGGCCUUGGGACUGCCUCAAGCUGGUUUCGGCAGCUAUGCUCUUUACAGAGCGUGUGGAGGGCAAGGACUCUGGAGUAGAAAAAGGUGCAGGUCUUAGGGCUGGGGUCCCAGGGUGGAAGCCCACUCCAUGCCUUACUGGCUAUUUGAGAUAGAGGAUGAAAAAUGGCAUGAACAUCUUUGUAUGUGUGAGGAUCUUCCUGUUGCCCACGCUGGAGUUCAAUGGUGCAAUCUUAGGUCACUGCAACCUCCACCUCCCAGGUUCAAGAGAUUCUCCUGCCUCAGCCUUCUGAGUAGCUGGGACUACAGGUGCACACCACCACCCAUGGCUAAUUUUUGUAUUUUUGGUAGACAUGGGGUUUUGUCAUAUUGACCAGGCUGGUUUCCAACUUCUGACCCUGAGUGAUCUACCACCUCAGCCUCCCAAAGUGCUGGGAUUACAGGGAUGAGCCACCAUGGCUGGCAGACACAAGCAUCGUGAGGGGUGCCUAGCCCCUGCAGACACUCCAUGAACAGCAAAUGUGAUAACUGCUAAAUCAAAACUACCCCAGAAUUUUCCAUCUGCUAUGUCCCCAAGAAAUGACACUGUAACAGGGAGCCGAACACUAUGAUGCCUGCCCAGCUGCAAGAGUGGACUCACCUAAGAUACUCCACAAGCUUUUUAUGCUGUUACAACGGACCCAAAGCACGGGAGAGCAGGGGCCUCACUUGUGCUGUUGCUUGAGAGUUCCCUAAAUGCCAGGCCAUAGCAGGUACUGAAGAAUACCUACAGCCCGAGUGAGUGCUGCUAUGUGUAGGGUUCAGGCCAAGGGCCCUGGCUGCAGAGCAGAGGAACUGAGAGCUAGACAGGGCUGGGCCUGCCAUAGGAAAACAACAGCCCAGCUAUGACCCAGCACUGUGGUGGCUGGGGGAUGAGAGAUGAGCUCAGCACAGAAAACACCUUGGAGCCCUGGAUGUACCCCUCCUACACCAGUACAAUGCCCUGCAGUGCUCUGGGCUUUAAACUUCACUUCUUGCUGAGUUGACACCAAAUGAGGCCCCUGAAGAGCCUCUUCUGCUGUGGGGCUUGGACAGAGUACCCGGGCCUGGAGUGGGACUUACAGGGAAGCCAGCAUCAUAGAAAAUCCCUAGAGGGAAUUCCCAGAAGGCUGCACCCUCAAAGCAUCUGGUCCAGACAAGACAACCCUGACUAGUCAUCCUGAAAGCCCGGUGCUGUCCAAAAGACACAGAUGCCAUGGUACAGGGAUGUGGCACAGUGGGGAGCCAGAGGUAGGUUACAAAGGAGACCUUAGAAGGUGUGGGACUCCCUUCCAUGUGGGUGCAGAGUGCCCACUGUCAUUCCCCAUGGAGGCACCAAGCCAGGAGAGUAGGGCUCCAGGGACAGUAGCUUCCAGCCUUCCCAGUCAGGUCCACAUCUGGUGAGCCAGAAGGAAGGAAAUGUAACCUAACACUGUGGCAGGAUCCAGCGUGGCCUUGUGGGAGGCGCUGUGGGAUGAGCAAGAGAGCAAAUGUGUGUGGCCAAGAUGAAGAAUGAACAGGGAUAGAAAAUUCCUACUUGUCCCAAGAAAUAGACCUCAAUGUCCCUUAGCAACAUCUUUUUAUGUCAUGCCUGACCGUGUGUGUGCCAGGGGUGGUGCUUGCCUUACCAAUAUGAGCAGUGCAAAAGUCCAGGAUGCCACGUUCACUCGAGACCCCUGUGCCAUGCUGUCUCCCAAAAGACUGAGCACCUUGAGGGCAGACUGGGAAUUGAGGUAUCCCUGAACCCCUAAGAGCAGCUCCUAUACAGCCCUAGAACUGCUGCUGAAGGAAGUGGCUCAUUUUGCUAAACUCCAGUUUGGAAUCUGGGGCUCAGUAAGGCUGUCCCUGCAGAGCAUUCUUGAGCCCAUUCUGUUCGGUAGCCAGGCAAGUGUGAGCAGCUGCAGCUUCACAGGAGGAGGCUUAGAGGGGCAGUGAUGGGUGCCAUGCUAUGCAGAUCCCAGACAGGAACGCGGGGGCCAGGUUUUAUUACAGGAGAUGGUGCUUGGGGUGGGAAUCAUAUCUCCAUCCCAUGGGACAGCUUAGUGGUGCUGAGGCUGACUUCGUGGGGGUGUAUUUAAUCCUCGUGAGGGAGGGGGAUGUUAACCACAGCUCAGGACUCUGUUCUUCCAGUUCCUCUUUCUCUCACACCCACAUUGAAACCAGCAAGUUCUGGUAGUUCUACUUUGAGAAUACCCCUUCCCAGGCUGCCUGAGGCACCAUCCCCUCUCCCCGGGGUGCCCACAUGGUCCCCUAACUACCUGUUCUAUCACCCAUAACAAAGCUCUACCCUUUGCUGACUCCACAUGGCAGCUAGAGUUCCCUUGGCUGCAAGGCCUCUCUGUUCCUGGGCUACCCUGGCUUCCUUGCUGUUUCUCCCAGGGGCCAACUCUUCAAGGCUGCAGGACCUUUGCACCUGCUGUGUCCACUGCCUGGCUCCCUGCCUCAGGUCUCCACUUCGGGUCAAACUAUCCCUGUCAUCUUCCUAGACCAUAAACAGCACAUCCCCAGCAGGCUUCUUUCCCUCUGUGAUGACUGUGAUGUCAUUUCCUGUCUUUUCACUGGAAAUCGCCACCUCACAUAGGCAUGUCUGCCUCACUAUUCAAUGUCUGUGUCCCCCAUGAAAACAGAUGCUUUAUCUGCUGUUGAACUAUCAGGAUCUGAAAUGGUGCACUGUAAGUACUAAUUGGAGGAAUGGGUGGAUGGAGGGGUGGGGAAUUUAUUUUCUCUUCAUCCCUGCUCUCAUCCUCCUAGGGCUUCCAGCUGCACUCCUAGCCCUGGAAAAACCAAACCAGCCUGAUCUUACUGGUGACUGUAUAAUCUUAAUCCCUUUAUUUUCAUAUAUUUUGAAAGCAAUCCUAAUUGUCUGUAUUUAAAAUUUCCUUUGUUGCAUGGAAGGUAGCUGUUUAAAUGUCUAAUUUUCUCCUAUCUUCUUAGUUUUCUAGUCAAAAUAAUAGCUUUAAUCACAGUGGGUCUAGAUGGAUUCAAAAAGGAAGAUUUAUCCACUCUUCUUGGUAAUUGUUUAUAAUUAUCAAUAGAUCAAUCUGGCAUUUAUGUUCCACCUGUAUUAUCCUUGGGUGGGGACACAGCCAAACCAUGUGUCAUCUUGAAUUCCCAUGUAUCAUGGGAGGGACCCAUUGGGAGAUAAUUGAAUCACAGGGGCGAGUCUUUCCUGUGCUGUUCUUCUGACAGUGAAUGUGAUGGUUUCAUAAGGAAGAGUUUCCUAGCUCACAUCGAUGGUGCCAUGCAAAGAGCUUAAGAAGUGACUUGCUCCUUGCCUUCCACGGUGAUUGUGAGGCCUCCCCAGCCACAUGGAACUGUGAGUCCAUUAAACCUUCUUUCUGUAAAUUGCACAGUCUCAGGUAUGUCUUUAUCAGCACUGUGAAAACGGACUAAUACAGUUGUACGAAGGGUCGAAAAGAGGUCAAGUUUACCUCUACAGCAAUGAGUACCUCCUACGUCCCUCGUUACUUUACAUUCCCUGCACCAGUGCCCAUCCCUAUGUUACCAGGUGGAGGUUAUUAGCUCUGUUUUGUGGAUGGGGAGAAUACAUUGUCCAAAGUCACACAGUGAAGUGAGAGACUGGGGACUCAAACCCAGGACUGCUUCACUCCCAUCAUGUGUACUCAAGGGUGUGGGUUUUUUUGUUUUCUGUUUUUGGCAUCCAGGUGUUCAAACUACAGUGCCCACUGAAGCACACAUCCUGCCCUUAGUUGUCAGGAUAAUACAUAAAUAUUAAUAGCCCCGAACACCUAGAAUGCUCCAGGUACCCCACCCCAAUGCCCACGGCUUAGGCUCACCCUCUCAAGGAGAGGUGAUCUGCUCCCCUCCCCCACAGGUCUGGAGAGUCAGUAGGGAGGCCCCUGUAUGCCUAGUGGUGAAAGGUACUGUUUAAAAGCUGCCUCUCCAUCUCAGGUUAAAAUCUGAAGGCUUCAUGGUGACCUCGUCUCUGGCCACCCACCUUGCACCAGCCACUCCCCUUAACCUGGAGCCUAGAAGCUGGGAAGGGCCAUAGUGUAGACUCAGAACAGAAGAAAAGAGCCAGACCCUUGCUUUCUGUACCUCUGGAUUCCAGAGGAAAUGGGUUCCUCCAUCUACUCAAACGUUUCUCCAUAAGUCGUCUGCUGGCAAAGGCCCUGGUCACCCACUCUGACAGGACACACGGUCUUGCCACAGUUGCAGGAGGAGAGUCACUGGCAUCCUAUCCGUCCACAAGCCCUGGAAGGAACAAUCCUAGGGGUGGGGCCAGGCAGGACCCGGUUAGGAAGCGGACAAUACACCUAUUGUGUGACAAUGGGUUGUCACUCUGUAUGUACUUGGAACUAUGUGACACCCUUUCUCUGGUGGAUGCGAGUCUUCCAGAUGUAAAGAGGGCGAAGUGGCAAACCAAUUUCUCAACAGUACUCUUUGGAGCCACUUGAGAACAGAGGCCCUUUCCCUGUCAUUGCCUGCCCCACCCCUUCCUUUUUUGUAUUGACCAUAUUUGUUUCUCUGACGGCUGGCAGAGUGUCUGUACUUCAUAGCUGUGCUAGGUAAGUGGGGCCUCACAGAGCUGGCUACUGCAGCCUGGGUCUGAUGGCUGGCACAGUGCAUUUCGUGGCUAUGCUACAGGAGCAGGGCAUCACAGACCUGGCUACUGAAGCCGACAUCUGCUGCUUCCUAGCUGUGCCACCUAGGACAAGUUACUCAAUCUCUCUGAGCCUGUUUCCUCAUCUGGAAAUACAGUGAACAAGGGAUGAUGAUAACAUCUAAUGACUAUUGAUUACUGGCCCACUGACCACAGGCCAGGGGCUGUGUUGACACUGGCUGCAUGUGGGCAUUUCCCCAAGGAGUUCUUGCUGAAGCAGUGGUCAAGAGUUUGGUCUCUAGAAUCCUGGCUCUGCAGUUUACCAGCUGUGCGACCCAGAGCACGUCCCUUCACCUCUCUGGGCCGAGGUUUCCCCUCCUAUUAAAGGGAUGGUGGAGGAAGAGAAUUCGAGUGACAGCGCUCUCAAAGGCUUCAUGAGAAGUAAACAGUCUGACAUGAACCUGCCGAUCCCAAGGCAUGACGCAGAGUCAGGAGUGACAACUCAUUAAGAAAUGCCUGCAGAACAAUGAAUCCAUCACUGUAACAUUCCAGAGAAUGUUCCUAGGCCACACAAUUCCCCACAGAAAAAUGCCAUCUAGACCCCAGCCGACCCCAAUCAUAAAAUCGGCCUCUUCAGAAUGAGAUAGGGUAGAGAAAGAGAAACGUCCAAAUCCCACCAGCUGACAUAAUGUUUUAGCAGAACCACCUCACAACGCCUUCCACUCCCCAGCAUCACUUCUCCUUUCCAACAGUACUGACUUUUCCUGCCUCAUGACUUUGGGGUCCACCUUCCCCUGUGGCCUGGAUGCCGUACUGAGAGUGUAAAGUCCUGAGUUGCAAUCUGGGUAAGUUAGUUUCAAUCUUGGUGUGGUGAGGAACCGGCUGUCACGGUUCUGAAGCCUUGGCUGAUGUGCACACCACCGAUUCCCAUCCCGUGUUCUUAGGAAUGAUGCCGGUGAAUAUAGGGUUAUGGACUUGUUUUCCUUAACAGCCUUCCACAACCAAGUCUGCAGAAAGACCUCUACCCCUACCAAUGUGAUUCCUGUGGCUUUGCAAUGUGAUGAGUCAACGGGGUCUAGAGUCCAGGGCUUUUGCAUUUAACCCAUGGUGUGACCUUGGCUGAGACCAUUUCUCCCAGCAGAUAGGCUCCUCGCUUAGAACGAGAGGGUGCCGGAUUCCACCUUCGGCAAUCCAGGAUGAAGGAAUACGCAAGCUCUUGUAGUGUGGUAAGAGGAUGUUCCACCACUGGCUUCUCUCUUCCAAAUACGAAGGUGUCCCUGUCUCAUGGGCUGGGAGAAAUCUCUAGAGCACCAGAUACAUCUUGGAAAAUAAACUUGGAAAAUCUCCCCCAGUCAACUCCACUGCAAUGCCAAAAUUCAUUAAUUCCCGUGGUUAAUAUUUUCUGAUACGACUGGCUUGUUGAAUGCAGGCUGGAAGAGCGUCUGGAGACAGACGGCACCAGCUGCGGAGCACUGGGGCACUGCCCACUCCAUCGGGGAGGAUGAACUGGGACGCACCACGGAAGCGUGAUCUCGUGGCUCAGUGGGCGUGGAAGUCUGGGCCAAAGGUGUCACAAGCUUCUUACACAAUGACUCGCCAGCACAGGUGGCUGUGGCUUUACUGACAGCUGUUCACCAGACCCCGCAGCAUGAACAUAUGUUUGCCCACCCACUUUCUCUCCUUUCAGUGAAUCGGGCCCCCUCCUUCUGGAUAAUCAUGUUCAGUCCAUGAGCUUAGGUGGGCUGAACACCCUGCUCCUCUGCCCCAGAUUUGGCUAAUCAAGGUGCUCCAUUCCCCGGGCCACAGGCACGGACCCAGAUGCAUGCGCUGAUGACCCAGAGCUGCAUCAUUCAGAAUCUCUAGAAUUUCCGCUACAGCUAUCAGGAGCAACGUGAUGAAUAUGAUUUUUCCUAGGACUUCUACAGGAGCUGAUGAGAACACUUAUGCUUCAGGGCCUGGAUCUAAACCAUCUAUAAGAUACGCAGCUGCCAGGAUCCAUCUUUCCACCAGACAGAACAUGCUUGAGGGUGAAACCAACAGGGUCCUGGUGACACUUUUUGAGCCUCUGGAUCCAGCCAUUCCUGAAGCUAGCCAAGUCCCUGGACUUCAUAGUUACAGGAGUAGCAACCGAGUGCAGCCGCUGGCUACACAGAGGACAAGAAGCAAAAGAAGCUGCCACAGAGAAGGUGUGAGAGGUGCAGGAAACCUCUCCAAAGACCAGGACAUUUGGCUGGGCACAGAGGCCCUCAUUAGGAGCACGUCUCCCACACGGAGAAAGACGGCAGGUGUGCCGGCGGUGCUUGGGCACUGAGCAGACAUCUCUAGCCCGACGAUUACUCCAAUGGACCCUUUCUCAUGGAGCCCACACUCUUAUGAAGACCUCAGUCAGAACCGCAGAGGCCGCGCUGCCCUGAGGCCUGGUGUUGGAGCUGUCCUGGUUAGCACCUUGUCAUCGCGAUCCCCUGGGGUCAAGUGGGAUCCCCUGCUGCCCUCACUCUGCACUGCUUCACAUGUUAAACAGACUUAUGCACCAAAGUCCCCUUUUGCCCUGGAAGGCUUUUAAGGUACAGUGGACCCCAUGUGGCCCACAGAUGUUUUAAGCAAACAAAGGAGUUUCCAACCAACUUAAACAUCAGAUUUUAUAUGAAGAUGUGCAUUUCUGCCACGUCUUGAAAAGGUCAAGGACUUCUAUCCAGCUAGCUGCAGUCCUAUAUAACAGGAAUCAGCCUGGUGAGGAGUGGCUGAUCCCUUUUGAUGGGGCCUAUGAGCUGCACUCCACACCACUCCCUGCUGACAACUCAAUGGCUUAAUUCACUUAUAUGACCCACCCAGACCUACAGGCACCUGAGUUUGCCAAGGCAUCCAGUCGACAGAGGUAAAUUUGGGGUGCCUAUUGAUGCUGGAAGAUCACAGAACCAAGGCCCCAAUUUGGGGUGUCAGUCCAGGUAGCGGGGUGUCUCCUCCCUCCAAAUAAUAUACCUGGUUGAUAAUGACGAGGCUAAGAAAGUAAGAAAUGAGGACAAAAGGCUGCAGUGGCUGACGGGCUGCUCUCUGAUGUGACAAGUCUGUCCAGGAACCCCACUGCUGGGGAUGGGGGUGGGGAGGUGCAACAUUAGUGUCUCACCUCCUGUGGGGUGGAAAUAUGCAUCAACACAUCACAAAAGGGGCGAAAGACUCCAUGACCUCAAACAGCCUCUUAGCAUCUAAGCUAUCCCAGGACCCACAGGGCCACAGGUACCAGCCCACGAACAGUGACUAGGGCUGACUUUCCAGGAAGCUGCUACGGAUUCUGCAAAGCACUCCACAGGAGAAUCAGCUGCCCUUUGGGCAAAACAGCAGCAAAGUGUCCUCUGUGGCCUCAGAUGGCUGCUGGUUCCAGAAUCCAGUUUGUUCAGAGAGAGGCCCUGCCUGGCAAAGGCGGCCGUGUUUCUAAGCAGAGCUGUCGAGUUGAACCUGUCCCUCCCCGGAGGUGUGAUGUGGGCUGUGGCUUGCAAAGGCACCAUCGUUUCCCCUUCCUGCCCUUGAUGACUUGUUGGUGGCACUCUCCCCACAGACGAGGGGCUCAGGGAUGCCACCACAGCCGUGCUGCGCCACCCGCUCCCUGGGUCCGCAGCCAACUUGGCAGCAGAGGAGGACGGCCUGCUGUUCUUAACGCUCUGGGGCUAGGUGUUGAUUCUGCAGCUCUCUCACGCAGGGGAAGGCUUCUCUGGGAGACACUGGCUCCCCUCGCUAGGCUGACCAGGCUGUCUUCAGCUUUCGCACCUCCUCCUGCCUCUGCCCCAUGGACUCCAGGCUCCUGCCCUGUCCCCAGCUUCCAUCCAAGGCCAACACCUCUUCCUGCCCUCUCUUUCCCUGGGCACCUGACCCUGACUUCGUAACCUCUGUGAUCCCCCAUAUGUCAGCCAAUUCCACGUUUUAUAUCAGGAAAUCGCAUCCCAAAGAGUGUUUCCAAAUACCUCAGACAGACUGGGAUUUCAGAUGGUGAAGUCAGAAUUCCUGCAAGUUCUUAGGAAUUCUCCAAAUCAUAAGUUAUUCUUAAACUAUUACUAACAUCCUUCCCACUACUUAUCCAUUAUCAUAGACAUCUAAAACUGUUUGCUUAAUAAUAUUGAGCUUAGUAGGAUUUACAAAACACGACAGCCUAGAAUGAAUAUACAAACGCUGGGAAACACAAGUGAACGCUGCUGGGAGCUGCUGAAAGAACCACACAACACAGGCACCUGCUAGCAAGGCUCAUGACGCUACAGAGUCUGGUGUCCAGAAUGCCAAUUUAAGGACUUAUUGUGCUUCCAAAACUUUUUACUUCUUGGAAUGCCACUCACAGAAAGUACACAAUUUACAUAAACAUAUUAGUAUUUAUUUGCAAGAAUGAUUCAUUGUUUGCAGUAGACAGAGCCAGGAACACACAGUUACAGCAUGGCAUCAGUGCAAGGCAAUCCUGACUAAUGAGAUCGUGACCACGUCUCUCCCACAUGUUCCUGUCCUGGUUCCUGUAAACGGCGACCCAGACCUGCAGCUCCAUGUGGUGACACCUCCUGCUCCUGCCUCUCCUCUGUCGCUGUGGAUUCCUCCAAACUGUGAUUGCUACAUCUUAAUUUUCAGCAGGACGGUUAUAACACACUCUCCGACCUCUUGACUGGUUUUUCUUGUGACGUGAGAGGGGAGAAGACAUACAUUUCCUGAGGCAUGCCUGGGAGAAACUGCUACCUGAAGGCAGCUCACAGGCGGCCAUCCUAGAAGACGUUCACUCUGCCCUCGCCUGGCUCUGGGCCUGCCUUCAGGAUGCACGUAGACCAGUUUCUGACCCCAAUGCUUCCUUUUCAUCUCAUCUGCUCCCAAGCGGGCUUCCCCUCCUUGUCCCCUUGACCUCUCUGCACCCAGAUAUUCAGCCUCAAAACUCGGCAUCUUCUGCUGCUCCCCUUCCAUUGCCCCAGCAGGCAGCCUAGUCACCUACUCAACUCUCACCGUCCUCAUCCCAGAGAAUGGCAAUGCCGCUGCUGCCCCCUUGCCAUGAGGACCACGGGGCAGAUGGUGCUGCACACCUGAGACAGUGGGGCCCCACGUCCCCUCUUGGUAGGGCCUUCCAAACCCAUGUCCCCCUUUCCUCUUGGCCAUCUGGGUCAGGCCCUCCCUGCCUUCUGUCUGCAACAUUUUGAGGGCACCCUAGCCCAUCGCCCAAUCCAUCCACUAUACCCAGUCCUGGCGUGCUCUUCGGAAAGCACAGCCCUGAGUUCACACACCUGCCAGGGCUCCAGCCCCCAGAGACCAAGACUUCCACCCCAGGUCCCAGUGCGCCCUGACCAUAGGGCCAAGUGCCCUGUUCUCCAGGCACAGGGGAUGACUUGGGGCUCCCUGCUUCUUGCAGCUGUUCUGCACACCUGGGAAGAGUGGCUUCCCCUUCGAUCCAGAUCAAACCCUGCAUAUCAAAUUGGUAUGAGAGGGUGGGCUUUAGUGAUGUCAGGAAAAAUUUAAAAUGCACAUACCCUCUAAGCCAGAAUGGCUUCUACACAUCAAGCCUGUAGCUCUACCUGCCAAAAUGUGUAUCCAUCGAGAUGUUCCAGACUACAGUCUGGGGGAGAAAAAUCUGGAAACCUCUUAACUGUUCAAGUAGAGCAAGGGUGAAAUAAAUUAUGAAACAGCCA